rnacentral:tRNA from 1 species
GAGAGGUGGCUGAAUUGGUUAAAGCACUUCCCUGCUAAGGAAGCGUGGGGCAACCCGCGUGCAGGUUCAAAUCCUGUCCUCUC